rnacentral:rRNA from 1 species
UACGUAGGUGGCAAGCGUUGUCCGGAUUUACUGGGCGUAAAGGGCGUGCAGGCGGUCUGUUAAGUUCAGGGUGAAAGCUCCCGGCUCAACUGGGAGAGGUCCUUGGAUACUGGCAGACUUUGAGGGAGGUAGAGGAGAGUGGAAUUCCCGGUGUAGUGGUGAUAUGCGUAGAUAUCAGGAGGAACACCGGUGGCGAAGGCGGGUCUCUGGGCCGAUACUGACGUGAGAAAGCGAAAGCGUGGGGGGAGCGAAACAGG